rnacentral:rRNA from 1 species
AGUGAACGCUGGCGGUAGGCCUAACACAUGCAAGUCGAACGGCAGCACAGUAAGAGCUUGCUCUUACGGGUGGCGAGUGGCGGACGGGUGAGGAAUACAUCGGAAUCUACUUUUUCGUGGGGGAUAACGUAGGGAAACUUACGCUAAUACCGCAUACGACCUACGGGUGAAAGCAGGGGAUCUUCGGACCUUGCGCGAUUGAAUGAGCCGAUGUCGGAUUAGCUAGUUGGCGGGGUAAAGGCCCACCAAGGCGACGAUCCGUAGCUGGUCUGAGAGGAUGAUCAGCCACACUGGAACGUAGACACGGCCCAGACUCCUACGGGAGGCAGCAGUGGGGAAUAUUGGACAAUGGGCGCAAGCCUGAUCCAGCCAUACCGCGUGGGUGAAGAAGGCCUUCGGGUUGUAAAGCCCUUUUGUUGGGAAAGAAAAGCAGCAGGUUAAUACCCCGCUGUUCUGACGGUACCCAAAGAAUAAGCACCGGCUAACUUCGUG